AUGGCGGCUGCUUCUUCUUCGUCGUCCUCCUCCUCUCCAUCCUCUUCCUCCUCCUCCUCCACGUCCUCUCCGUCCUCCUCCGACCCGGACUACAAGGUCACCACCUCCGACCUCGACGACGACGCCGCCGGCGUCGAGCUCCCGUCGUCGGACGAGGAAUUCCUCUCCGUCUUGCGCACGCAGGGCCACGUCGACGCGGUGUGCAAGAAAUACGGCAUCUCCGAGGACCAGUACACCGCCCUCCCCGCAGGCGACCUGCGCGCCAGCUCGUCCCCGCCGCACGGCGCCGUCUGCGUGUACGCGCACGCGCUGGAGGCCGGGAUGCGCGUCCCCCUGCACCCCUUCUUCGUCGACGCGCUCAACCACUUCGGCCUCGCGCCCACGCAGCUCGCGCCCAACGGGUGGCGCAUCAUGGCGGGAUUCGUUGUCCUCUGCCACUCCGCCGGCGUGUCGCCGUCCCUCGCGGUGUUCCGGCGGUUCUUCAUGCUGUCCACCCUCCCCCACAGCCACAAGCAGAAAAAAGGCUGGUACUACUUCCAUCCCAGAUCGAGGGACAGAUCCGGCUUGCGCUUCACGGGGUUGCCGGAGUCCAUCAAGGAUUGGAAGCGUGGGUUCUUCUUCCUCUGUUCGCCGACCGCGUGGCCUUGUCCUGUGGAGUGGGGCAGGCCGUCCAAGAGCUCUCUCGUGGACCCCGUGCUCUCCACCGAAGAUGAGGCAUCGGCGGCCAAGUUGCUACGUGCUCAGGGAGCCUCCUUCAUUGAUCUUAGGAAGUAUCUUUGCCGCAGCAAUCUUGCCAACGCCGGGAUAUCUCCCUUAUCGGCACCGGCACGGGCGCCGUCAUCACCGCAGCUCCCGGCACCGGAGCCGUCGUCACCGCAGCCGUCGUCACCGGAGCCGCCGCCUUCUUAUACUUGUACCGCCACCGAGUUCAAAGUGAUGGAUCCCGCAGUGUACGGCAUGAUGAAAUCCAUGCUAGCAGCGAAGGCGGCGGUUGCACAAACACCGGCAUCGGCGAACAAGGUGAAAAUCGAGCCGGGCGGAGAUGCGACGAGAUCGUCACCAUUGCGUGGGAAGAAGAGGAAUCUGGACGAAGCAGGCGGCAGCGACGGCCCACCAUGUGUGCUGCCAAACACUCCGCCUACCGCCGAUGACAGCUCGGCGCCCACCGGAAUUUGUUCCCCAACCGAAGCCUUCUCCCGGAGCAGCCGGAAGAUGCAGCAUAUUCCCAGCGGACACGACGGCGACAGCACCGACUGGGUCGCCGCGAGGGAGAGGCUGCGGGGCGUCGUCCCGCCGCAGCAGGAGCGCGUGUUUGCGGCGACCGAGCCCUCCGACAUCGUCGCGUCCAGCUACAUCGCCAUUCUUCAGUAUUUGUCUGUGGACGGCAACGACGCUUGCGUGCAGGCUGCAAACUACGCGUCCUUCUCCUUGGCCUACGCGCUGGAGCUGGAGCAGCGGCUGGUUGCGCGGGACGCGGAGGUCGCCGCACUGCGGACGCAGCUGGAGAAGUCGGAGGACAAGCUCGCCGCGGCGGAGGCGGAGGCGGAGAUGAUGAAGGCCGAGCUCGCCGUGCGGCGGCGCGCGCAGGACGCGCUGGAUGGCUACGAGCGCUGGCGGGGCGGAAGCAAAACGUGA
rnacentral:rRNA from 1 species